AGCGUGGUAGAGCAGUUGGCAGCUCGUUGGGCUCAUAACCCAAAGGUCGCGGGUUCGAGUCCCGCCCAUGCAA
rnacentral:tRNA from 1 species